rnacentral:tRNA from 1 species
GGAGCUGUGGCUCAGUGGUAGAGUACAUGCCUUGCAUGUGUGAGACACUAGGUUCGAUCCUCAGCACCA